UGGAAAUAAGGCCACUGAGGAGAAAGAUGUCUGCUGUUUCAGUUUCCUGGAAAUUGAAGCUUUUCUCGUUAGCUGCCUGCAUCCCCUGAGGCUGUGAGAUAUCUGCUGUUUGGGUUUCCUGGAAAUCGAAAGUUUUCUCACAUCCUGCCUGAAUCCCCUGAGGCUGUGCUUCAGUGAGGGCAGAGCUGCUUGAAACCUCUCAGGAACCCAUCCGAGCUCUAGACUGUGGGGACUUCGGCAGUAUCCGUCCGAGCUGGCCUUUCAUCAUGGCCAACAUGGCAGCUGUGAUUAGAACAGUUGUGAUCUUUGCCCUGCCUGUGGUGCUCAAUGCCAUUGGCCACGCCAGCGCAGAACUCAUUGCCGGCUCCAUGGCCAGGGUGAUGUCCACAGCGGCCACCACUGUCACCAGAGUUGCCGUGAAUGGCCUCAGGGCUGCUCUGCGGUCAGUGAGAAUGGCCUGACUCUUCCCGUGGUGCAGACUCAUGCUGGUCUCUGCUGAGUCUGCCCUUGUGGCCUGCAUGGUGCGCUUUGCAUAGCUCCCUGCCCCUGCCCCUGCCCCUGCCCCUGUGGAGAAGAGGGCCACACGAUGGCAGAGGGUGCAGCCAGCCAGCCGACUCAGCGAGGGACCCAUCUGGGGACACAAUGAACCCAAUGCCGCACGCCCAGAGGAAAAUAAGGAAUAAAAUUGCGUUGUUGCAACUC